GAAGGGCCAUAGCUCAGUGGUAGAGCAUCUGCUUUGCAUGCAAAAGCCCCAGGUUCAAAUCCUGGCAUCUCAAGGUUUUUCA